UACGAAUAAAUACCCUAGGUAUAAAUUAGAAAUUUUAUUCUUUCCCUUCUUUUCUGAAUAGAGUUCCUGUUCGCAGAAUUCCAGAGAACGUAAGGUUGGAGUCAGAUUUCAGGGUUGAAGAACAGAUCUCUAUAGGUGAAGAGUAGAUUAUAUUUUUUCAGAAUUAUUCUUCUCCCAAGCUUUCAAGGACUUCUUUUGAGGUACUCUUAGUUCGGGUGAGGAGUGAUGGCUAGGCUGAGGAAUGGUCAUCAUUAGGAUUUGACUUAGGAUUUUAUGUUGGAUUUUGUUUAACUAUUAGUUAUGUUCAUUUGGAUCUUUUGGUAUUUGGAAGUUAUUUGGAAAUUGAAUU